GACGAACGCUGGCGGCGUGCUUAACACAUGCAAGUCGAGCGGAAAGGCCCUUCGGGGUACUCGAGCGGCGAACGGGUGAGUAACACGUGAGCAAUCUGCCUUUAGCUUUGGGAUAACCCUCGGAAACGGGGGCUAAUACCGAAUAUUCAUUGACUGUCGCAUGGCAGUUGAUAGAAAGUUGUUCGGCUGGAGAUGAUCUCGCGGCCAAUCAGCUUGUUGGGGGGGUAAUGGCCUCCCAAGGCGACGACGGGUAGCCGGCCUGGAGAGGGCGACCGGCCACAAUGGGACUGAGAGACGGCCCAGACUCCUACGGGAGGCAGCAGUGGGGAAUAUUGCACAAUGGGCGAAAGCCUGAUGCAGCGACGCCGCGUGAGGGAUGACGGCCUUCGGGUUGUAAACCUCUUUCAGCAGGGACGAAGCGAGAGUGACGGUACCUGCAGAAGAAGCGCCGGCCAACUACGUGCCAGCAGCCGCCGUAACAC
rnacentral:rRNA from 1 species